rnacentral:rRNA from 1 species
GAACGCUGGCGGCGUGCCUAAUACAUGCAAGUCGAGCGAACGGACGAGAAGCUUGCUUCUCUGAUGUUAGCGGCGGACGGGUGAGUAACACGUGGAUAACCUACCUUUAAGACUGGGAUAACUUCGGGAAACCGGAGCUAAUACCGGAUAAUAUUUUGAACCGCAUGGUUCAAAAGUGAAAGACGGUCUUGCUGUCACUUAUAGAUGGAUCCGCGCUGCAUUAGCUAGUUGGUAAGGUAACGGCUUACCAAGGCAACGAUGCAUAGCCGACCUGAGAGGGUGAUCGGCCACACUGGAACUGAGACACGGUCCAGACUCCUACGGGAGGCAGCAGUAGGGAAUCUUCCGCAAUGGGCGAAAGCCUGACGGAGCAACGCCGCGUGAGUGAUGAAGGUCUUCGGAUCGUAAAACUCUGUUAUUAGGGAAGAACAUAUGUGUAAGUAACUGUGCACAUCUUGACGGUACCUAAUCAGAAAGCCACGGCUAACUACGUG